rnacentral:rRNA from 1 species
UACAGAGGUCUCAAGCGUUGUUCGGAUUCAUUGGGCGUAAAGGGUGCGUAGGCGGCGCGGUAAGUCGGGGUGUGAAAUCUCGGGGCUUAACUCCGAAACUGCAUUCGAUACUGCCGUGCUUGAGGACUGGAGAGGAGACUGGAAUUUACGGUGUAGCGGUGAAAUUCGUAGAUAUUGGGUGGAACACCGGGUGGCGAAAGGCGGCUCUCUGGCCCGGAUCGUGACGCGUGAGGCGGCGAAAGCGAUGGGGAG